UACGUAGGGCGCAAGCGUUAAUCGGAAUUACUGGGCGUAAAGCGUGCGUAGACGGUUACAUAAGUCGGGUGUGAAAGCCCCGGGCUCAACCUGGGAAUUGCAUUCGAGACUGCGUAGCUAGGGUGCGGAAGAGGGAAGCGGAAUUUCCGGUGUAGCGGUGAAAUGCGUAGAUAUCGGAAGGAACACCAGUGGCGAAAGCGGCUUCCUGGUCCAGCACCGACGUUCAGGCACGAAAGCGUGGGGAGCAAACAGG
rnacentral:rRNA from 1 species